rnacentral:pre_miRNA from 1 species
UAGCGAACACUAAACAGAGACAAAGGUAAAAAAGGCGACGAAGCACGUGUCUCGUCGCCUCUUUUACCUUUGUCUCUGUUUAGUGUUCGCUA